CCUCCGAGCAGCAGCCGUAGCUCCGGUCCGAGCUGCUGCCGUCGCUCUCGCUGCGGUCCUCGUCCUCAUCGUCCGACAACACGUUUACAUCAGCGUGGGCUCACCUCUACCUGAUGCUCCCCACCGUGUCUCUCAUAGACGCUGCCAGAGGAGCUGCAGGGCUCCAACAGCUCCCGUUCCACCCUCUUCCUUCUCUGCGUCACCUGGGAUCACAUCCCAACCCCUCACGUUAACCCCUCAGUGGGUUACACUGGAGCUCUUGUCAGUGUCUCAAUGUCUAGGGGU